rnacentral:rRNA from 1 species
CACUGACAUUACGAUACCCCCCGUAGUCCCAGCCGUAAACUAUGCGCGUUAGGCGUACUGGUGACCACGAGUCACCGGGGUGCCGAAGGGAAACCGUGAAACGUGCCGCCUGGGAAGUACGGUCGCAAGGCUAGAAACUUAAAGGAAUUGGCGGGGAGCACCACAACGGGUGGAGCCUGCGGUUUAAUUGGACUCAACGCCGGAAAUCUCACCGGAUAGGACAGACAUAUGAUAGUCGGGCUGAAGACUCUACUUGAUGAUCUG